rnacentral:rRNA from 1 species
ACACUCCAGCACUAGAGUUUGUCGUACGGUCACAGGAAGCAGCUUGCUGCUUUGCUGACGAGUGGCGGACGGGUGAGUAAUGUCUGGGAAACUGCCCGAUGGAGGGGGAUAACUACUGGAAACGGUAGCUAAUACCGCAUAAUGUCGCAAGACCAAAGAGGGGGACCUUCGGGCCUCUUGCCAUCGGAUGUGCCCAGAUGGGAUUAGCUUGUUGGUGAGGUAACGGCUCACCAAGGCGACGAUCCCUAGCUGGUCUGAGAGGAUGACCAGCCACACUGGAACUGAGACACGGUCCAGACUCCUACGGGAGGCAGCAGUGGGGAAUAUUGCACAAUGGGCGCAAGCCUGAUGCAGCCAUGCCGCGUGUAUGAAGAAGGCCUUCGGGUUGUAAAGUACUUUCAGCGGGGAGGAAGGGGUUAAGGUUAAUAACCUUAGCCAUUGACGUUACCCGCAGAAGAAGCACCGGCUAACUCCGUGCCAGCAGCCGCGGUAAUACGGAGGGUGCAAGCGUUAAUCGGAAUUACUGGGCGUAAAGCGCACGCAGGCGGUCUGUCAAGUCGGAUGUG